UACAGAGGUCUCGAGCGUUUGUUCGGAUUCAUUGGGCGUAAAGGGUGCGUAGGUGGCGUGGUAAGUCUGGUGUGAAAUCCCGGGGCUCAACCCCGGAACUGCACUGGAUACUGCCAUGCUUGAGUACUGGAGAGGAGAUUGGAAUUUACGGUGUAGCAGUGAAAUGCGUAGAUAUCGUAAGGAAGACCAGUGGCGAAGGCGAAUCUCUGGACAGUUACUGACACUGAGGCACGAAGGCCAGGGGAGCAAAACGGG
rnacentral:rRNA from 1 species